ACGUGGGCAACAAAGGAACUGAG
rnacentral:piRNA from 1 species